UACGUAGGGCGCGAGCGUUGUCCGGAAUUACUGGGCGUAAAGCGUGCGUAGGCGGUUUUGUAAGUCGGAUGUGAAAGCCCCGGGCUUAACCUGGGAAUGGCAUUUGGGACUGCAAGGCUUGAGUGUGGCAGAGGAGACUGGAAUUCCUGGUGUAGCAGUGAAAUGCGUAGAUAUCAGGAGGAAUACCGAUGGCGAAGGCAGGUCUCUGGGCUGACACUGACGCUGAGGCGCGAAAGCGUGGGGAGCAAACAGG
rnacentral:rRNA from 1 species